rnacentral:rRNA from 1 species
CCUACGGGUGGCUGCAGUGGGGAAUAUUGGACAAUGGGCGAAAGCCUGAUCCAGCCAUGCCGCGUGUGUGAAGAAGGCCUUCGGGUUGUAAAGCACUUUCAGUGGGGAAGAAAGCCUUGGGGCUAAUACCCUCGAGGAAGGACAUCACCCACAGAAGAAGCACCGGCUAACUCCGUGCCAGCAGCCGCGGUAAUACGGAGGGUGCGAGCGUUAAUCGGAAUUACUGGGCGUAAAGCGCGCGUAGGCGGUCUGAUAAGCCGGUUGUGAAAGCCCCGGGCUCAACCUGGGAACGGCAUCCGGAACUGACAGGCUAGAGUGCAGGAGAGGAAGGUAGAAUUCCCGGUGUAGCGGUGAAAUGCGUAGAGAUCGGGAGGAAUACCAGUGGCGAAGGCGGCCUUCUGGACUGACACUGACGCUGAGGUGCGAAAGCGUGGGUAGCAAACAGGAUUAGAUACCCGGGUAGUC